rnacentral:tRNA from 5 species
GGUUUAGCUCAGUUGGUAGAGCAUUGGUCUCCAAAACCAAGUGUCGGGAGUUCGAGUCUCUCAACC